rfam:Aedes albopictus isolate Foshan contig80168, whole genome shotgun sequence.
UGUUCUGUGGCUUAGUUGGUUAAAGCGCCGGUCUAGCGAAUACAUAGUCGUGAGUAUAAAUCCCACCAGAACGA